UACGAAGGGGGCUAGCGUUGCUCGGAAUCACUGGGCGUAAAGGGUGCGUAGGCGGGUUUCUAAGUCAGAGGUGAAAUCCUGGAGCUCAACUCCAGAACUGCCUUUGAUACUGGAAGUCUUGAGUAUGGGAGAGGUGAGUGGAACUGCGAGUGUAGAGGUGAAAUUCGUAGAUAUUCGCAAGAACACCAGUGGCGAAGGCGGCUCACUGGCCCGAUACUGACGCUGAGGCACGAAAGCGUGGGGAGCGAACGAGGA
rnacentral:rRNA from 1 species